GGCGUCUAAACUCCUAUUCUUCAUGUACUCAUACACAAGUAGUCGUUGGGGCCCAUCCGAGCAACACCCAAGAAGUCGAACCAAGUUCUUGUGUUGGAUGCUUGUGAUCAUCCUCACCUCUGAAAGAAAUUCUGAUUCCGAGACAACUUUUUAACUGCCACCAUUCUGCCAUCAGCUAACUUUCCCCGAUAGACGGGUCCAAAUCCACCUCUUCCAAGAAGAUUACUAGGAUGAAAAUUUUUAGUUGCCUUCUUCAAUGUAUUGAAG
rnacentral:misc_RNA from 1 species